rnacentral:rRNA from 1 species
GCAUAAUCACUUGCCUAUUAAUUGUAGGCUAGAAUGAACGGGGUAACGAAAUAAGACCUAUCUUAAUUAAACCUAUAUAAACUUAUAUCUAAAUGAAGAAGUUUAGAUAAAACAAGAGGACAAGAAGACCCUAUAGAGCUUUAGUUAAAAAUUAUUACAUACUUUUACACUUCGGUUGGGGCGACCCAGGAUAAUUCAUCCUGUAAAUAAAAGAUAUAUAAAUCAACCUAUAUGAACCUAAACAGAUCACAGACCAAGCUACCUUAGGGAUAACAGGCUAAUCUCACCUUAGAGCUCAUAUCCAGGUGAGGA